CCCCUUAGAUGUUGUGUUGAUUCUUGUGUUGUGCUUUCAGACUCGGCCCCCGCACUCCCUCCCUCCCCCCAUCUCUGAGGAGCCCUGUCGAAAGGUGACCCGGCCCCUGAGCUCUGCCGAGGAGACCCCGUCGAACCCCCGGAGAGGAGAGCUCCCAGACAGGACCCUGUCCACCAGUCUGCCCAGUGAGGGGCCCAGCGAGGGCGCCGCCCCCGCCCUCCCCUGCCCCCUCCUCCCCCGUGGAGGAGGAGCUGCAGACUCCCCUCCCCUCCUCUGUACGCGACCCCCCCGCUCCCGGCCCCUCCCCCCAGAGGACCCCGUGUCUUGUAGCCGCGGCGUUGCCGCGCCAACGGGCUGUCCUGAUCGACAGCGAGGCUCAGAGCAGCGUCUCAGGAGGUCAGGGGGCGGCGGCAUCAGCUGACCCCUCCCCGGCCCAGUCCUCCUCCCCGGGGGGGUGCCAGCCUACAGGAGGUCCUCUGCGCUCCAGCUGAAGGCCUGGAGCCCUUCAGCCCGGAGCCCCUCAGCCUGGAGCCUCCCCCCAGCCUGGAAACUCCCCCCAGCCUGGAGCCCAUCAGCCUGGAGCCUCCCAGUCUGGAGCCUCCCCCCAGCCUGGAACCUCUCAGCCUGGAGCCCCCGACCCUUGAGCCCCCCAGCCUGGAGCUCUGUCAGCAGGCUGCUCAGGAGUUGCGGCAGGCGGUGCAGCGGGCGCUGAACCUGCAGCGGCAGGUGGCCGGCGUGUGUGCGUCCGAGCGGCGUGUCGCCAUGGCGACUGUCCUCGAGGAUGCGCUGGUCUCCGCCCACAACGACCUCGGCGCCGUCUGCUUGUCUGACAGGAAGUGCAGCCCUGACUCCGCCCCUCCGCGACCGGAGGCUGACGAUAGGACGAUGGAGCUGCUGGAGAGAUACUCUGACCUUCUGCUGAACAUGACCCUUGGCAAAGUGGAGCAGCAAAGCAUCAUGGGAGUCGUGGACAACCCUGGGUCGCAUUAGCAGCAAAGCAUCAUGGGAAAUGUUGAUUCCCCUUGCUCGCAGCAAAGCAUCAUGGGAGAUGUUGACUCCCCUUGCUCGCAGCAAAGCAUCAUGGGAUAUGUUGACUUCCCUUGCUCGCAGCAAAGCAUCAUGGGAGAUGUCAACGUUCCUCGUCUUCAUGUAAAUGUUUUGUAUAAAGGUUUUAUAUUUAAGUAUUUAAUUAGAGUUUUGUGCAAAUAUCUGAAUUUUCCAAUGUUAUGGAUCAUUUUUAUACUUUUGGGAGAAAUGGAAAACAGGUUUUCAGUUGUCCCCAUAGCAACACGUCCUAUUAUGGGAUGUGCUGUGCGGUCAGCUCUGGACACGCCUCGAAAGUCAGUCAAUAUUAAAGUUUAAAAGUUUCAGCUUUGCUCUGAGUCGUGAAUAAAAGCAGCGUUCGAAUGACUUGGUCUCCUGUCCUCAUUGGCUAACAGGGUUAUGAUGUCACCAAUCUCAUUUCCUCACCAUUAAUGAAAGGAUUUGAUUUGUAGAAGGACUAGUUAACUAGUUUAAACUAGUUGUACUACAGUAGGACUAGUUUAAAAGAGGUCUAACAGUUGAAGAAAUUGUGUUGAUCAUUUUGAGGGUGCAGUACCACCACACACAACAGACGCACUCCCACCACACACGCAAAUAUGUAGGUGUGGUCAAAUCAGGAAGACGAAUCAAAGUUGGUGGUGAUUGGCUGAGUGAAAAACAACAAGUUGCGAGGAAAAGAAACUGACAGGAGACAAAGUGAACAAUAUAAGUUAUAUCUGGAUUAUUAUGAGCUGUUUGAACGUUCAGAACCGGUGAUUAUGAGCUGCGUGGCCGUGAAGCCUCCUUCGGGUGGAAGGUGGAAGGUGGACGUGAUCCGCCAGCUGAAGCGACGGGACCAGAGGCAGCACGAAGCGUUCAGCGACCUGAUCCGGCACUACAGCCGCAUGCUUGAGAAGUCCAGCAUCUCUGCAGGGUUCCUGAGGACUGCCAGGGUCCCAUCAGGCCCGGAGUCCUUGUCUCAGAACGAUCGCCUGAAGACGAUGACCGGAGAGUUGGCGUGCCAGGUGGUGGCUCUUCAGCAGGAGUUGAACAUCAAGCAGAAGGUUCUGGAGGAGCAGCAAAGCAGGUUGGCGGGGCCCAGCAGGGGGCCUCAGGCGCCCAGGCUGAGGAGCAGGCCCUGCAGGCCCGGGC
ensembl:lncRNA